CGGCUUGAAGAUGAUGGCAUUGUCUCUUACAUUCUCACUGGCCUUGACUCGGAUUUCAAUUUGUUUGUUGUGGCCAUCACUGCCAGAAUUGAGCCGGGCACCCUAAGUGAUCUCUAUGCCUAGCUUCUUACGGCCGAGG